rnacentral:rRNA from 1 species
CUGCUGCUAAUACCGCAUGAUACCUGGAGGGUCAAAGGCGCAAGUCCGCCUUAGGAGGAGCCUGCGUCUGAUUAGCUUGUUGGUGGGUAAAGGCCUACCAAGGCGACGAUCAGUAGCUGGUCUGAGAGGAUGAUCAGCCACACUGGGACUGAGACACGGCCCAGACUCCUACGGGAGGCAGCAGUGGGGAAUAUUGGACAAUGGGCGCAAGCCUGAUCCAGCAAUGCCGCGUGGGUGAAGAAGGUCUUCGGGUUGUAAACCCACUUUUGGCGGGAAAGAAAUGGUCUGUGCUAAUACCACGGAUUGAUGACGGUACCCGGCAGAAUAAGCACCGGCUAACUACGUG